AUUGUUCACAUUUUAAAAAUGAUAUUGAUUUUAAUGACAAAAUUAAACAAGACAUUCGAAUCACUUUAAGCACACAUCACGUGAACUUUUUUUCGAUGUAUGAAAUUUAGAAUCACAGGAUACAUUUUUCUAGGAAAUCAGGCAAACGACAUUAACAGGUCGCAAAACGAAAUAUUGUCAUAAAAAAUCAGACACACACAGGUUCACAGUAGAAUCAGGGACAAACGACACGAGACCCAUAACCAUCGUGUCAAACAAAGCCAAGUCCUGCGAUGGAAAUGCAUCUUGUAGCGUACCUGUUUGUAUUUUACCACCGAGAACUCAAGGUCCACGAUCUACACCAGACAGACAAGGCACCAUACUUGCCAAUUGAAACAAACAAGUGACCUAAGAAAAACGAAAAUGUUGGACAGCUUGUUGCAACGUCACGUUAUAUAAUAGUUCAAAUGUUGCCAAUUUUAUGUUUAUGGCCUAAGCACAUCAAGGCUAAUGAUAAUGGGCCCGACGCGUACCUGUUUCGGUAGACGUCCGUAAAUUCGUUACCCAUGCAAUAUAGCCUGCUGAAUUCAACUUGUCCUAUUUAAGCACAGCGCUGAUGCAGGUUGUCUCCGUUCAAGGUGUCGCUCAACGCAACGGAAACGUCGAGGUAAAAGAUAACCAUAAGUCCAAAAUUCAUCUUCACGCCAACGGUGACGGUCAAGUGACCAAUGACGAGGAUACACAAUAAAGCAUUCGCUCUUGGAAGACCUUGUAGAGCGUUCUUUUUCACCAUACGUUACAUGCGUUCAGCACCGCACAACCUUGGCCGCGAGAUGAUCGAGAGGCUUUGCUCAGCUCCAGCACACGGCGAAGAACGAAGCAAGUCAAGUGGACGACCGGCAACGUAGCACCGGCCCAUAUGGGUGACUUCUUUUUAAGAAGACUGUGAAAGCAGUUCUGGGAUAAAGAAAACGAAUACGAAAGCAGGGCUGGUGAUAGGCUGCAAAGAAAGGAAACAAACUUUGCCUUCAGUCAUUACUGGUCCCAAUUUAUUUUUCCUGAUUAAUCUUACCUUCCAUAAAUCAGUGGCAGCUCUGUCCAAUCCCAUGGCUUUUGGAUAAAACAAGUGCUUGUUUGAUGAAAUACAAGAUUGUUUACUCUGCUUUGAAUGCUUGAACUGUCGCAGCAUUUGGUGCGCGCUCUCGUCGCACUUUCUGCAGCUACGGUCGCUUCACCAUCAACUUACACUCAUCUACUUUCUGUGGUUACUUUUCACCCUAAGAUCGUCGUCGUCGUUCGCGACGAGUCCAAUGGGACCCGAGAAGAGUCUCGCGCGCUGGUGUAGUAAUGCUGUUGGCUUUCGCUACGUGUGUUUUCAACGUCGGUCCACUAAUGGGCCAAGAUAGGCCAUUCUCGACACAUAGAAUAGUUGAGAGCGUAAAAAACAGACAAAACGAUUGUGAACUUUUGCAGCGAUUUCAGUAAGGCUGUUAACUGGUAUUUUUAUUGGGUAUGAAAACACUAUGGCUACGAGUCCGGAAACAAAUUAAACCGUCACAUAUGCCUCGUGAUAAAGAAUAUCGUGCAAUGCAUGGUUUGAGCAAGGAGUAAAAAUAAUCUUUCUUCAAUAAAUAAAUCCAACUGUUUCUUUCCACUACAUUGGAAAACAAAACAGUUGAACAAGUGAAAGUUUUUGGGAUUUUUCAAUCACGCAUGAACACUGUUUUCCUUCAGUGAUUGAUAAAGUGCCGCUUAGUGCGUUUAUCAUUAGAAUUUAAAUUAAAAUUAUCUUAAAAAUUUAAAAGCCGACGAAUGAGUUUUAUUAUAAUUUAAACUUCACCAACCUCUGGCUGCUUCCAGCAAUGUGCUGUCGUUACCUGUUACACACAUUACAUCCUUGAACAGGCUACGUUUAGCUUGAUCCUGUUCACUCAGGCUGCUAGGAUAGUUGAUUGCUUAAGUAAUUAAUUUAAAUUAAUGAAAUUCAGAGCAGUUGCGUACCAUCACACCAAGCAAGGGUUGAAGUAACUCAUAGAUCCAUAGAAGGCAUCCAAGGGCAGGAAGGAAAGCUUUUGUGUAAUCACCUUAUUCUUAGCGGGGAAUCAUGUGUCAUUUUAAUUGGAUGGCAAUGAGACGGUAACGUUGCCUAUACUUGCAUGUCAAAAAACAACCUCAUUUUUCUAGCUUGCGGUCACUAUGUGAAAAGAUCCAAAUAAUUUUGACUCACUUGGAAACAGUUUUGAUUUUAAGUGUUCCAAUAGUUGCAUGUUUGUUUACGUUCUUAUGCAUACACGCUUCUCAAAAGAUUCGGAUUAGAAAAAAGUACUACUCCUAGCACAUAAUUGUUCAAAUUGAUUUAAUUUAGUUCAUAAAUAACCCAAAUAUAACACAGAAACGUUAUGCCGCAAAGAAAACAAAAUGCUAGGAAACGAUAAA